GGAAAUUGAUGGUCAAGUGAAUAGUAGCAGUUAUCUCAAUCAACGCUUCACUUUAGGCUGAAAAGGAACUUUAAAAAGAUGAUUAUAAAGGACACAUAUUUCUCAAGAGUAUCCAGCACUGUUGCCCACAAAC
rnacentral:lncRNA from 1 species